AGUGAACGCUGGCGGUAGGCCUAACACAUGCAAGUCGAACGGCAGCACAGUAAGAGCUUGCUCUUACGGGUGGCGAGUGGCGGACGGGUGGGGAAUACAUCGGAAUCUACUUUUUCGUGGGGGAUAACGUAGGGAAACUUACGCUAAUACCGCAUACGACCUACGGGUGAAAGCAGGGGAUCUUCGGACCUUGCGCGAUUGAAUGAGCCGAUGUCGGAUUAGCUAGUUGGCGGGGUAAAGGCCCACCAAGGCGACGAUCCGUAGCUGGUCUGAGAGGAUGAUCAGCCACACUGGAACUGAGACACGGUCCAGACUCCUACGGGAGGCAGCAGUGGGGAAUAUUGGACAAUGGGCGCAAGCCUGAUCCAGCCAUACCGCGUGGGUGAAGAAGGCCUUCGGGUUGUAAAGCCCUUUUGUUGGGAAAGAAAAGCAGCAGGCUAAUACCCCGCUGUUCUGACGGUACCCAAAGAAUAAGCACCGGCUAACUUCGUG
rnacentral:rRNA from 1 species